rnacentral:rRNA from 1 species
UACGGGGGGGGUAAGCGUUGUUCAGAAUUACUGGGCGUAAAGGGCUCGUAGGCGGCCAACUAAGUCAUACGUGAAAUCCCUCAGCUUAACUGGGGAACUGCGUGUGAUACUGGAUGGCUUGGAUUUGGGAGAGGGAUGCGGAAUUCCAGGUGUAGCGGUGAAAUGCGUAGAUAUCUGGAGGAACACCGGUGGCGAAGGCGGCAUCCUGGACCAAUAUUGACGCUGAGGAGCGAAAGCCAGGGGAGCAAACGGGG